AUGAACGCUGGCGGCGUGCUUAACACAUGCAAGUCGAACGAUUAAAGCUCACUUCGGUGAGUGUAUAGAGUGGCGAACGGGUGAGUAACACGUGGGAAACCUGCCCCUUUCUUCGGGAUAACUUCGGGAAACCGUUGCUAAUACCGGAUACUCCGGGAUGGUCGCAUGGCCGACCCGGGAGAGCUUUAUGUGGAAAGGGAUGGUCCCGCGGCCCAUUAGCUUGUUGGUGGGGUAAUGGCCUACCAAGGCGAUGAUGGGUAGCCG
rnacentral:rRNA from 1 species